AGAAGCUUGCUUUUAGAAGUCGAGUGGCAAACGGGUGAGUAACGCGUAGACAACCUGCCUCUGGGAUGGGGACAACAGCCCGAAAGGGCUGCUAAUACCGAAUGAAAUGGUUUCUUCUCCUGAAGAGAUCAUGAAAGAUGGCCUCUAAAUUAUGCUAUCGCCGAGAGAUGGGUCUGCGUCUGAUUAGCUGGUUGGCGGGGUAACGGCCCACCAAGGCGACGAUCAGUAGCCGGUCUGAGAGGAUGAACGGCCACAUUGGAACUGAGACACGGUCCAGACUCCUACGGGAGGCAGCAGUGGGGAAUCUUCCGCAAUGGGCGCAAGCCUGACGGAGCAACGCCGCGUGAGUGAAGAAGGGCUUCGGCUCGUAAAGCUCUGUUGUCGGGGACGAAUGUACGGAAUGAGAAUAUUGUUCUGUAAUGACGGUACCUGACGAGGAAGCCACGGCUAACUACGUGCCAGCAGCCGCGGUAAUACGUAGGUGGCGAGCGUUGUCCGGAAUUAUUGGGCGUAAAGGGAGCGCAGGCGGGAAGGCAAGUCGGUCUUAAAAGUGCGGGGCUUAACCCCGUGAGGGGAUCGAAACUGUCAUUCUUGAGUGCAGGAGAGGAAAGCGGAAUUCCUAGUGUAGCGGUGAAAUGCGUAGAUAUUAGGAGGAACACCAGUGGCGAA
rnacentral:rRNA from 1 species